rnacentral:pre_miRNA from 1 species
GAUUUCAAUUGAAAAAGUCAUCAACAACAAAGUUGAAUAACUCAUCAAGAUCUAAAACUUUUAUUUUGGUCAUUUCUUCAUACGACAAAGUGAUAGUAACAUUGUUCACAAAAUUGACAUAUCUCUUAUCUAGUUUUAUACACUAUAACACAUAUAUAUUACUAACAUUUUGUCGGAUGAAGAAAUAAAAAAAAUAAAAGUUUUAGAUCUUGAUAAGUUAUUCAACUUUGUUGUUGACGACUUUUUCAAUUGAAAUC